UGGGGAAUUUUGGACAAUGGGGGAAACCCUGAUCCAGCCAUCCCGCGUGUGCGAUGAAGGCCUUCGGGUUGUAAAGCACUUUUGGCAGGAAAGAAACGUCGCGGGUUAAUACCCCGCGAAACUGACGGUACCUGCAGAAUAAGCACCGGCUAACUACGUGCCAGCAGCCGCGGUAAUACGUAGGGUGCAAGCGUUAAUCGGAAUUACUGGGCGUAAAGCGUGCGCAGGCGGUUCGGAAAGAAAGAUGUGAAAUCCCAGAGCUUAACUUUGGAACUGCAUUUUUAACUACCGGGCUAGAGUGUGUCAGAGGGAGGUGGAAUUCCGCGUGUAGCAGUGAAAUGCGUAGAUAUGCGGAGGAACACCGAUGGCGAAGGCAGCCUCCUGGGAUAACACUGACGCUCAUGCACGAAAGCGUGGGGAGCAAACAGGAUUAGAUACCCUGGUAGUCCACGCCCUAAACGAUGUCAACUAGCUGUUGGGGCCUUCGGGCCUUGGUAGCGCAGCUAACGCGUGAAGUUGACCGCCUGGGGAGUNCGGUCGCAAGAUUAAAACUCAAAGGAAUUGACGGGGUCGAU
rnacentral:rRNA from 1 species